rnacentral:rRNA from 1 species
GUUCUAUAGUUAUUAAUUUUAGAUUGGGCCUGCCCUAUGAUUUAUUAAAUGGCUGCAGUAUUAUAACUGUACUAAGGUAGCAUAAUAAUUUGUCUUUUAAUUGAAGGCUUGAAUGAAUGGUCUGAUGAAAAAUUAACUUUUUUAUUUUAAUAUUUUGAAUUUGAUUUUUUAGUCAAAAAGCUUAAAUUUUUUUAUAGGACGAGAAGACCCUUUAGAAUUUUAUUUUUAUUAAAAUUAAUUUAUUUUGUUUAUUAUAUUAUUUGUUUUUUAUAUUAAUUUUGUUGGGGUGAUUUAAAAAUUUUUUUAACUUUUUAUUUAUAUUUCAUUAAUUUAUGUUUUUUUGAUCCUAUUUUUUAGAUUAUAAGAUUAAAUUACCUAAGGGAUAACAGCGUUAUUUUUUUGGAGAGUUCUUAUUGAUAAAGAAGUUUGCGA